GCUGGGCGUAGUGAUGUAUGCCUGUAAUCCCAGCAACUUGGGAGGCUGAGGCAGGAGGAUCGUGAGUUCAAAGAUAAUCUCAGCAUCUUAGCAAGGCUCUUAGCAACGCAGAUAGACCCUGUCUCUA
rnacentral:sRNA from 1 species